rnacentral:rRNA from 1 species
AUUGAACGCUGGCGGUAUGCUUAACACAUGCAAGUCGAACGGCAGCAUGGUCUAGCUUGCUAGACUGAUGGCGAGUGGCGGACGGGUGAGUAACGCGUAGGAAUAUGCCUUGAAGAGUGGGACAACUUGGGGAAACCCAAGCUAAUACCGCAUGUACUCGAGAGAGUAAAGAUGGGGACCUUUAGGCCUGGCGCUUUAAGAUUAGCCUGCGUCCGAUUAGCUAGUUGGUAGGGUAAAGGCCUACCAAGGCGACGAUCGGUAGCUGGUCUGAGAGGAUGAUCAGCCACACUGGAACUGAGAGACGGUACAGACUCCUACGGGAGGCAGCAGUGGGGAAUAUUGGACAAUGGGGGGAACCCUGAUCCAGCAAUGCCGCGUGUGUGAAGAAGGCCUGAGGGUUGUAAAGCACCUUCAGUGGGGAGGAGGUUUGGAAGGUUAAGAGCUAUUCAAAUGGACGUUACCCACAGAAGAAGCACCGGCUAACUCCGUGCCAGCAGCCGCAGUAA